rnacentral:rRNA from 1 species
AACGAACGCUGGCGGCAGGCCUAACACAUGCAAGUCGAGCGAGCAUUUCGGUGCUAGCGGCGGACGGGUGAGUAACGCGUGGGAACGUGCCCUUUUCUGCGGAAUAGUCCUGGGAAACUGGGGGUAAUACCGCAUACGCUCUUUUGGGGAAAGAUUUAUCGGAGAAGGAUCGGCCCGCGUUGGAUUAGGUAGUUGGUGGGGUAAUGGCCUACCAAGCCGACGAUCCAUAGCUGGUUUGAGAGGAUGAUCAGCCACACUGGGACUGAGACACGGCCCAGACUCCUACGGGAGGCAGCAGUGGGGAAUCUUAGACAAUGAAGGCAACCCUGAUCUAGCCAUGCCGCGUGAGUGAUGAAGGCCUUAGGGUUGUAAAGCUCUUUCAGCAGGGAAGAUAAUGACGGUACCAGCAGAAGAAGCCCCGGCUAACUCCGUG